rnacentral:telomerase_RNA from 1 species
GACAACGACAUUCAUUCAUUCAAUCGUUAUCCCAAUCUCAUUAAUGGGAUAUGCUCACAUUCUACUUUCAAACAUGAGAUUCGGUAAUACGUACAACGUUACUACGUUUGUCUUUUCUACUGGUUCUCUUUUUCCAUUCCUUGCCCUCCCCAACACACGCGUGUGUCAGUACGGUGAAAAACUGUAUAUAAUGAGGCACGAAGUGAGGAGGAUUUUACCACACCUUGCUACUCAUAAUACACACAAAGAUUUCAAGGAUAAGACAUAUGUCCAAAAUAUAAUAAGCUGGUACGGAACAUCGACCAAAUUUGCGUGCUCCAUGACGAUGAAUAAAAGUUUCCCCAUUACAAAAUGACAUUGAAAAGCAAGCUAGACCUAAUCGUAUUCUACUACUUACAAAGACGGAUGAGAAUUAGUAAUGAACACUUUUAUUUUGGAUUUUUGUUGAGAGGCAGUAUUUACGGACCUCAGUAUAAUCAACAUCCGGACCCUAGCGAGGGUGCUUUGGUUGUUUUGCUAUUAAGAAAGGAGUGGAGGAGAUAAACUCAUGAGAUCUUGAUGUUUUGGUUUUUAUCUUCUAUACAUCCUUCAUUGUUGGGUGAACGAGUGGAAGGUCGACUCAACUUUUUUGAAUACCGAUUUGGUUGGAGAUUGGGUGGGUUGUCACGAUCGCCCUUUCCUCAGAAGUGUGUCCGGUUUUUUUGCCAAUGAGAAUGUUGAUCGAUGUUGCUUUACAAAAGAGGCGGAGUGUUAGAAGUACCCUUAAAGUAUUUUGCUCCCCCACUCAAUAGUGCACAUCUCAAUGUUCAAGUUUAAUGGCCUGGACAAAGGUUUUCCUUUAACUUCAUCAAUAAUCAAUUCAGUCGUUCAACGUUUGAAGAUUCCUUUUUGUCACGCGUUCUGCCUCGUUUUUGUUCAAUGAGGAAGAAAAGACCUUUGAUGUGUCUUUUUCCCAUCUCGAUCGAGUGAUCCCUCUUGAGGGCACUUCUUCUCCCCCCCACUUCUUGCAAAUCACAUCGGGCCCCUCCAUUGUUUUUAACAACAAUACUCAUUUUUGUUUUUUUAUUUGUUUAUUGGAUCUUAAUUUUUUUGUUUUGGAGAGGCUAUAUUCCUUCGCCCAGAGAUGGUCGAAAAAAGGGAAUCCCAAAAUCAAAUAAAAAGAGUGUGGAAUAUUGUGUUUCAUCAUUUUUCCCUAUUCUCAAGACCAAAUAUGCCUGAUACGAAGAUCCAAUUGGAGUGUUUUUCAUUCGUUGUUCACCUAUGAGCUUCUAAAGGUUUAUAUGGACUCGCAACCCAUUGUUUUGGUUUUAGUAUAUGAUGAUCAUUCUACACCGAGGGACUACAUUGUCAUUGUUGCCGGCUUAGAAAACUGUUGUCAGAAUUGAAACUUUGCUUUCGCCUUUUCCAUGUGGAGGCGAGGGGAUUCAAAUUAUUGGUUUGUACUCCAUAUGACUGGGUGUUACACACCUAAUCUUUGUCAUCUGUUGAGAAAGCAUGUAUUCUUGAAUCAAUGGGCUUCCUUUAGGGACAGUUUUUCCAAUACCUUUAUUUGGGUAUGUUUGAUGAUUGGGUGUGCGCUUUUCGAAUGGCACAAGAUGAAAGUUUUGAGUAACCAUAUUUGCAAUCUUGAAGUUUUGUUCUAAUGGCGACGCUUUGGAAUGUUUGACCUUGUUUAAUUUGUGGAGUGGCAAGGGAAAGACUUUUACACUUUGGAUCCGUUUCACUUGACGAGUGAGAGGAGGGGGCAUAAGUGGUCGUUUGACUGUGGAAUUACGUGAGAAAGAUUGGAUUUGAAGUUGUCUUUUUUCACUUUUUUU